UCCACUUUCUUUCCCAUCUUAUCUUAGGGAGCAAAUAACUUCAUUUUUAAAAUAUUUAAGGGGUGAUAGAUCUCGUAAAGAUCGAGUGUAUAGUUAAAAUAUCGAAUAAAGUCCGGGAUGUUUUAGAUUAUUUUCUCUUUCGAUUUUAAAAAUUACGAAAACUCAAAAUUACCACUUUACUAUGUGAAGAAGCCAAAUUGACGACACAAGCCAAAUUUUCAACACCAAAACGAACCGUUGUAAAUUGAAAUAACUCAGCCCCUUCUCUUGAAAUUUAGCCCCUUUACUACAAAUUCCCCUACAAAUUCGCUGAUCUUUUUAGACCUUUUUCCUUGAAAUUCAUCAUUUCUCUCCAGGAAUUGUUUCAUUUUAUCUGAUUUUAGAAUGAGACUGUUUGGUGGUGCACAUAAAUCGGCUUGCGAAGCCUAAUGGAGCAGAAGUGAAAUCUUCUUUCACAAUAUUUAUAGAUGAGAAGGGUGAUGAGGGGGUGCCACUAAUUGGUAGAACAGAGUGAAGAUUUGCCAGGUGAAGGUUCUUGGAGAGCCCGUCUGCUUGCAGCGGAAGUUUCAAGCAAUACCAGCGUGGCUACACUGUUCCUCCUCUUAAAUGUGGUUCAGGAGACAAUUAUUGAUUAAGAUCUUUUAAGAGUAACUUCACUUUUGAGCUGAGGGUCUAUCGGAAACAACAUCUCUACCCCACAAAGGUAGAGAAGUCUGCGUACAUCUUACGCUCCCCAAACUUCCACUUGUGAGAUUACACUGGGUAUGUUGCAUAUGAUAUGGACCAUCUUUGUACAAUGUAUAGUUCUUUCCUCCCUUCCCCACUCUGCCCACAAUUGUUGACAGUUGACGGAUACGGAUGGAGAUGAAGAUAUAAUUGCUUCGCUUUUCUUGUUUCAGGCAGUUGGCUUUCUUUGCUAUCAGCACUUUGCAGCAGAUCAGACAGAGAGGUGGGUGUUAGUUUUGCUGGUCCUGCAUCAAUGAAUUGUUUUCGAGAAAGAGAGAUGUGCAUGUUUAUUUAGUUUUUACUGAUCGAAAAACUCGUGCUCAGCUGCAGCACUGCGAGCAACACAACUUGCAGUCCUGUUUAACACAAUUUACAGUUUACCAUAGCAUCAUCAUCUGCACCAGCCACACCAGCGGUGCCUGCUUAUGCGGAACAUGUUUAACGAUAAGAGGAUUAUGCUUGAUCUCUAAAUUUGAAGCUAAAUGGAAGGACUAGUUCAUUUAUUUCAUUUUUCAUGAUUGAAUUGAGCAUCUGUUCUUUAAAUAGUCACUGAGAAAGAAAAUUUAUUGAAUUUCUACCUGUAAUUGACUACUAAUCUACCUCAGAUGGCACCCCGUUGGUCA